rnacentral:sRNA from 1 species
UGAGAACAACACCAAAAGAGAGCAUAAGAUAAAGGGGUGUCUCAGUCUGUUUGGGCUGACUGAUACCAU